AGAGACCCAAGUUGUUAGACACCGGCGUAAAGAGUGGUUAAGACUUAACUCAAAACUAAAGCCGAACACCCUCAGAGCUGUUAUACGCACCCGAAGGUAAGAAGCCCAACCACGAAAGUGGCUUUACGCCAUCCGAGUCCACGAAAGCUAUGAUACAAACUGGGAUUAGAUACCCCACUAUGCCUAGCCAUAAACAUUGAUAGAAAACUACACCCACUAUCCGCCCGGGAACUACGAGCAUCA
rnacentral:rRNA from 1 species